UCGAGCGCGCCCUUCGGGGUGAGCGGCGGACGGGUUAGUAACGCGUGGGAACGUGCCCAGCAUCUAAGGAAUAGCCACUGGAAACGGUGAGUAAUACCUUAUACGCCCUUCGGGGGAAAGAUUUAUCGGAUUUGGAUCGGCCCGCGUUAGAUUAGGUAGUUGGUGGGGUAAUGGCCUACCAAGCCUACGAUCUAUAGCUGGUUUUAGAGGAUGAUCAGCAACACUGGGACUGAGACACGGCCCAGACUCCUACGGGAGGCAGCAGUGGGGAAUCUUGGACAAUGGGGGCAACCCUGAUCCAGCCAUGCCGCGUGAGUGAUGAAGGCCUUAGGGUCGUAAAGCUCUUUCGCCUGUGAUGAUAAUGACAGUAGCAGGUAAAGAAACCCCGGCUAACUCCGUGCCAGCAGCCGCGGUAAUACGGAGGGGGUUAGCGUUGUUCGGAAUUACUGGGCGUAAAGCGCGCGUAGGCGGAUUAGUCAGUUAGAGGUGAAAUCCCAGGGCUCAACCCUGGAACUGCCUUUAAUACUGCUAGUCUUGAGUUCGAGAGAGGUGAGUGGAAUUCCGAGUGUAGAGGUGAAAUUCGUAGAUAUUCGGAGGAACACCAGUGGCGAAGGCGGCUCACUGGCUCGAUACUGAC
rnacentral:rRNA from 1 species